rnacentral:rRNA from 1 species
UACGAAGGGGGCUAGCGUUGCUCGGAAUCACUGGGCGUAAAGCGCACGUAGGCGGAUUGCUAAGUCAGGGGUGAAAUCCUGGAGCUCAACUCCAGAACUGCCUUUGAUACUGGCGAUCUCGAGUCCGGGAGAGGUGAGUGGAACUGCGAGUGUAGAGGUGAAAUUCGUAGAUAUUCGGAAGAACACCAGUGGCGAAGGCGGCUCACUGGUCCGGUACUGACGCUGAGGUGCGAAAGCGUGGGGAGCGAACAGG